rnacentral:rRNA from 1 species
ACGUAAUAGAUACCUGGUAGUCCACGCCCUAAACGAUGUCUACUAGUUGUUGGUGGAGUAAAAUCCAUGAGUAAACGCAGCUAAACGCGUGAAGUAGACCGCCUGGGGAGUACGGUCGCAAGAUUAAAACUCAAAGGAAUUGACGGGGGCCCGGCACAAGCGGUGGAUUAUGUGGAUUAAAUUCGAUGCAACGCGAAAAACCUUAACCUGGCCUUGACAUGCCACUAACGAAGCAGAGAUGCAUCAGGUGCCCGUAACGGGAAAGUGGACACAGGUGCUGCAUGGCUGUCGUCAGCUCGUGUCGUGAGAUGUUGGGUUAAGUCCCGCAACGAGCGCAACCCUUGCCAUUAAUUGCCAUCAUUUAGUUGGGCACUUAAUGGGACUGCCGGUGACAAACCGGAGGAAGGU